GAUCUUUCUUCAAGGAUAUUGGGCUUGUCCCCUAAUUCUGGUGAAAAUUAUCCGGGUUUGAUUGUCAUCGACACAUUCAACAUCUGAGUGGCAUGAGGCACAGCAAUUCUGGAAUUCGUAUUGUUAUACUUUUCCUGUGAUUGGUUUUCAUAGUAUUUUUUUCCCCCUGUUUUAAGUUUCAGUCUGAUGAAUAUUGGCUUUUAUUCUUCUUUUCAAUAGAUUGACUUUCUGUGCUGUUUAUUCAUUUAAACACACUAUAUUCGAAUCAGGAAAGCAACUCAUGCCUAUGGACCUUAGCGGACGUGUUUCGUUCGAAUAAUGCUGUUCACCAGCUCUGCUGAUGAUUAGCAUCUAAUGUGGCAGUGAGUCAGGUUACAUAUUAUAGCAUUACUCUUUUCAUUUACUCUGAUCCUUAGUAGCCUUUUGAUGAAUUUUCCUUCCAAAAUGGUGAUGAUUUUUUGUUUUUACA